AGAGAAUUGACCGAGUGGUCUAAGGUGAUAAGCUUGAAACUUAUUUGGCCCAUGUGGGUCGCAUCCGUUCGAAUCGGAUAUUCUCUG
rnacentral:tRNA from 1 species